rnacentral:rRNA from 1 species
GUGGGGAAUAUUGGACAAUGGGCGCAAGCCUGAUCCAGCCAUGCCGCGUGAGUGAUGAAGGCCUUAGGGUUGUAAAGCUCUUUUGUCCGGGAAGAUAAUGACUGUACCGGAAGAAUAAGCCCCGGCUAACUUCGUGCCAGCAGCCGCGGUAAUACGAAGGGGGCUAGCGUUGCUCGGAAUCACUGGGCGUAAAGGGCGCGUAGGCGGACUCUUAAGUCGGGGGUGAAAGCCCAGGGCUCAACCCUGGAAUUGCCUUCGAUACUGGGAGUCUUGAGUUCGGAAGAGGUUGGUGGAACUGCGAGUGUAGAGGUGAAAUUCGUAGAUAUUCGCAAGAACACCAGUGGCGAAGGCGGCCAACUGGUCCGAUACUGACGCUGAGGCGCGAAAGCGUGGGGAGCAAACAGGAUUAGAUACCCUGGUAGUCC